rfam:Triticum aestivum genome assembly, contig: Triticum_aestivum_CS42_TGACv1_scaffold_000757_1AL
UAUAUACUCCCUCCGUCCGGAAAUACUUGUCAUCAAAAUGGAUAAAAGGGAUGUAUCUAGAUGUAUUUUAGUUUUAGAUACAUCCCUUUGGUCCAUUUUGAUGACAAGUAUUUUCGGACGGAGGGAGUAUAAU